rnacentral:piRNA from 1 species
UGGGGGAAUAUUAAUGCCUAAGAUCCAGAGC